rnacentral:lncRNA from 1 species
GGUCGCUUCUCGCAGGCGGCGCGCUUGCUGGGUCACAGUGAGGCGGCUCCGCGCAGGCGCAGCCGGGCGGGCGAGGAGCGGGGAAGCUGACUCAGGGCUGCGGCCGGGGUCCUGCGGGGUAGGAGCGCGAGGCCGGCCUGAGGGAGGAGGCCUAGCGACCCAUCCGGCGCCUCCCGCCCCGGGCACCCGCCCGCGGCCGCGCAUCCUGCGGGCCCCAGGAGGCCUCCAUCUCAAAACAACGUGUUUUUAGAGAACUCAAGGGCUGUGAAAAGAGCAGGACCUCACCAGCUGCACGGCGGUGGUGACUGGCUCCAUCUUGCUGUCCCUCCCAAUCACACAACAUCUCCCCUUGAAGGCUCUGCCCAGGCCCGGACUCCCACCUUUCAAGAUGUCUGGAUCAGUGCAGGACCUCCUCCUUGGCCACAUCGCUCUCCUUGGACUGGUUCGUUAACCCUGUUUUACGCUGGAGUGCAAUGACUCGGUCUCGGCUCAUUGCAACCUCCGCCUUGCAGGUUCAAGUGAUUCUCCCACCUCAGCCUCCCAAGUAGGAUUACAGGUACACACCACCACGCACAGCUAAUUGUUUUGUAUUUUAGGAAGAGAUGGGGUUUCAUCAUGUUAGCCAGGCUGGUCAGGUGAUCCAUCCGCCUUGGCCUCCCCAAGUGCUGGGAUUACAGGCGUGAGGCACUGUGCCCGGCCUGCCCCCCUUUUCUCUUGAUGUAAGUGGACAUUUUAAUCCAUAAUCUGUAACAUUUAUGUAUUAAGUUUACUACUAUCUUUGGUUUGCAGUGUUGACUCACCUGUGGAGUGGUCUGAGCCUGAAUGCCCGGGGCUGUGGCCACCGAGUGAACGGGCUGUGCUAAGGGGAAUUGCCACCUUGGGAAACCUGUGUAGUUGCGGCUUUUCUGAUUAAGUAUCAAUAAAAGUCUGACCUUGUGAAAAAAGCAAACGUGAGUGGCCCUGCUUAUGUUUCACCUUGCGUUGCUCAGUGAUAGUUCUGCAAAGUCGCAGGAAACCUGGAAUCAUCUAAUUAUCGUGAGUGUUGGUGAGUAACACCCAUAGGCACUGGCUCCCGGGGAAAUACAGAGUCAGGUUCCUCCGAGCCGCUGGCCACAGCAUUUUUGUUAAGCAGUUCAUCGUUAACCUUGUUGUACAUGUCUCUCUCUCAAGGUUCCUUAUUUAAUAAUGUCUAGUUGAUUCAUUAACAUGGAAUUCAUGGCCAGUACCUCUGUCACUCAUGCCUGACUGAAGUUGAUCAGCACGUCUUUUUCUCCCUUAGGCACAUGACAGCCUUCUUGCAAUCAAGAAACUACGUGUGGCCAGGAUCUCAUCCACUAUCACAGUUUCAGCUUUCCCCAAACUGGAAUGUGUCUUUGCAGACGCCCAUCCUUAUUAAAGGGCAAAGACUUCUCAUACACCUAGGAUGGAUCUUAUAUUCUUGGCGGGACUGCAGAGAAGGUGCCGUGUCCUGAGUCCUCAUGUCAGGGCACAGGCUUCCAGCCAGUUCUACCUGGGUUAUGUUUAUCUCAAUUCCCUGGUGGUAUUGGUGUCUGCUGGGUUUUGCCAGAAUGAAGACACCGUGUUUUCAUUUGUCAGUUGAUUCGUAUUUUCCAGGAAGACAUUCUGAGAUUACAGCAUUGUCUUAGUCAAGGUGCUGCAGAAGGACAGAACUAAUAGGAUAUAUGUACAUAUGAAAGAAAGUUUAUGAAGAACUGGCUCACACCAUCACAAGGCAAAGUCCCAUGACAGGCCAUCUGCAAGCUGAGGAGCGAGGAAGCCAGCAGUGGCUCAGCCGGAGUCCAACAGCCUCAAACGGAAUCCAACAGUUCAGGCUUCAGUCUGUGGCCAAAUGCCCAGAGACCCCGGAAAGCUACUGGUGUUAGUCCCAGAGCCGGAAGGCCAAAGAACCUGGAGUGUGAUGUCCAAGGGCAGGAGGAAUGGACAGAAGCAUCCAGCAUGGGGUAAAGACGAAAGCCAGAAGACUCAGCAAGCUAGCUUACCUACUUUCUUCUGCCUGCCUUGUUCUAGCCGCGCUGGCAGCCGGUUGGAGGGUGCCCACCCCCACUGAGGGUGGAUCUUCCUCUCCUAGUCCACUGACUCAAAUUUCAGUCUCUCUGGGAGCACCAUCACACCAGAAACAAUACCAGCCAUCUAGCCACCCUUCAGUUCACCAUCACAACCAUUGUCUUAUUCAUGAAACUUCUGCAGACCCACCUUAACCUCCAUCGGUGACUUCUACCUGAAGCCCUCUGAUUGUUGCCCAGUGGUGCUUUUUAAAAUAAUUUCCAUAGUUUCUUCUACACCUUUAGUUGGCAUUCUACUGUAAAGGAGAGAUUUUAUUUUCUUACUCAUUUAUUUGUUAGUUUAUAGUCACCACCAUAUGGAUGCAGAGUUCUGUCUCAUUCACUGGGAAGUAUUCUAUUGCAGUCAUGAUUUAUUUUGAUGUUCACAUCCCAGAGUUGGUGAGUGAGCGCCCCUUCACGCUGGCUCCCGAGUGCUGACGUGUCCCCGUCCUUCUCUGCACUUUUCCUUACCUCCUGGCCUCAGAUAUUCCAGGGUCAUUUGUUCUCUCCCUGCUCCAACCCUGCAGUCAGCCAUCUCCCUAGGGACGUUGGUUCCUUUAUGGAAGGUGGCAUUUAGAAGCCAGGAUUUGGGCUGAGCACUGUGGCUCAUGCUUGUAAUCCCAGCACUUGGGGAGGCCGAAGUGGGCGGAUCGCUGGAGGCCAAGAGUCUGAGACCAGCCUGGCUAACAUGGUGAAACCCUUCCCCGUCUCUACUACAAAUAAAAAAUUAGCUGGGUGUGUUGGCACGUGCCUGUAAUCCCAGUUACUCAGGAGGCUGAAGCACCAGAAUCUCUUGAACCCAGGAGGCCGAGGUUGCAGUGAGCCAAGAUUGCACCACUGCACUACAGCUUGGGUGACAGCGCGAGACACCGUCUCAAAAAGGAUAAUAAUUUAAAAAACAGCAGGAUUUGGGUGAGCAGUGCGCUCAUUGCUUCUGGGCUCUCUCGGUGGACAUAGGCUAGGAAUGUAAGAUGUAUGUGCCUGUGUAUAUACACACGUCUGUAGCUAUGUCUAUGUUGCAUACAUGUGUUUUUCCAAAAACCAAAUCCAUAACCAUGCCUUCAGUUUCAGCCCAACACCUCCGGGCUCUUUCUAGCUUUCUACCUUUCAUGAUUGUGAAUACCUUCUCCAGCAGUGAGAAACCUGGCUCCUUUGUCCUCAGUGGAUUUUCUUAUUUGCUCAAUUUUUUUGUUUUUUGUUUUGUUUUUGUUUUUGAGACAGAGUCUUGUUCUGUCACCCAAGCUGGAGUGCAGUGGCAUAAUCUCGGCUUACCGCAACCUCUGCCUCCUGG